AUAUGGUCUAAAGGUAUUACAUACUCCUCGGCCAAAGUAAUUUGUGCAACUUCAAGAAAGUUCUUUAGAGAAUGCAAGGUACACUUGUUUGAAAUUUCAAAAAGAUUGGAUUGGAAGUGAUUGAGAAAAAUGACAU